rnacentral:rRNA from 1 species
AUGGCGACCGGCGCACGGGUGAGUAACGCGUAUGCAACCUGCCCGAUACCGGGGUAUAGCCCAUGGAAACGUGGAUUAACACCCCAUAGUACUUUUAUCCUGCAUGGGAUGUGAGUUAAAUGUUCAAGGUAUCGGAUGGGCAUGCGUCCUAUUAGUUAGUUGGCGGGGUAACAGCCCACCAAAACGAUGAUAGGUAGGGGUUCUGAGAGGAAGGUCCCCCACAUUGGAACUGAGACACGGUCCAA